AGCAGCCGCGGUAAUUCCAGCUCCAAUAGCGUAUAUUAAAGUUGUUGCAGUUAAAAAGCUCGUAGUUGAAUUUCGGGAUCAGUUGGUCGGUCGUGCCUCGGUACGUACUGGUCAAAUUGAUUCCUACCUUCUGACGAACCACGAUGUCAUUAAUUUGGUGUCGUGGGAAAUCAGGACUGUUACUUUGAAAAAAUUAGAGUGUUUAAAGCAGGCUCGCGCUUGAAUACAUUAGCAUGGAAUAAUGAAAUAGGACGUUUGAUUCUAUUUUGUUGGUUUCUAGGAUCGACGUAAUGAUUAAUAGGGAUAGUUGGGGGCAUUAGUAUUCAAUUGUCAGAGGUGAAAUUCUUGGAUUUAUUGAAGACUAACUACUGCGAAAGCAUUUGCCAAGGAUGUUUUCAUUAAUCAAGAACGAAAGUUAGGGGAUCGAAGACGAUCAGAUACCGUCGUAGUCUUAACCAUAAACUAUGCCGACUAGGGAUCGGAUGAUGUUAAUUUUUUAAUGACUCAUUCG
rnacentral:misc_RNA from 1 species